UACAGAGGUCUCAAGCGUUGUUCGGAAUUACUGGGCGUAAAGCGUGCGCAGGCGGCCAUCCAAGUCAGUGGUGAAAGCCCGGAGCUCAACUCCGGAAUUGCCAUUGAAACUGUUUGGCUCGAGUACGAGAGAGGUGAGUGGAAUUCCCAGUGUAGAGGUGAAAUUCGUAGAUAUUGGGAAGAACACCGGUGGCGAAGGCGGCUCACUGGCUCGUAACUGACGCUCAUGCACGACAGCGUGGGGAUCAAACAGG
rnacentral:rRNA from 1 species